rnacentral:piRNA from 1 species
AACGUUUGAGGGGAAAGCUGUAU